UGAGAGUAGAAAAAGGAAAGAAAAACAUAGAAAAACAUAAGAAAGAAUUUGUAUUGGAGCUUAUCACUUAUUAGAACUGAUAGUAGCUGUAAAUCAGUAGUGUUGUUGGAUGGUGCCGACUUUGACAGAGAAUAUAAAACAGAAUGUUUAAUGUGUUUGUCACACACCUUAGCUCUGAAGAUAAAAGACACUGCAUGAAAGACUGCAAUAUAUUUUUUCAAGGUAAGUAAUGUUCUCCUAAAUAGGCUUUUAGUGUAAGAUAUGUGGUGCAGUGCAUUAAAAUGUUUACAUCAAGCUUAAUAAUGGAUAGCAAUAGGAAUCUUUUUACCAGUCGAGGUACUCAUCAUCUCUUAAUGUGGUUAUUUUGUUUGUUAAUUAUUUCUUCAUUUCAACAAUUAAACAAAAGCAUUACUAGCUUCCUUCAAAUACAGUAAGUUCUAUUCAGAUACCUUGCCAUACACUGGAAUUAAACAUCUUUCAUCAUUUUAACCAUGUUUAUAGCGUUCUUCAACCUUCAUUAGCAGAAUAAGAACUUUUCAUAAGAAGUAGUAAUAUUUCUUGGAGGACAUUGUUCCUUUUAGCUGUACUGCAUUCAGCUUUAUAGUAAUGAGAAACUGGUCUAAUCACUUCAUCUGUGCUUUUUUUUUUAUUGAUAACCAGAUACUGGUACAAGAUUUUAAGAUGGACUUGGUUCUUUUCAUAACAAACACGAUUCUGGCUUUGCUGUAGAAGCAGCUAAGGCCAGUAUAGAGAAAAAAGCAACAACUAAAUUUAGAAGCCAGUGUGUAGCAUAAGUAAUAAGGAGAAUAUGAUGAAUUUGAUGGUUGAGUGGAGGCUGAGGUUUUUAUCCUGAAUAAAUCUAUUGAUUUCAGACUUUGAUUUUAUUAUAAUUUUCAGUUUGGUUAAGAUUAGGCACAAAGCUCCUUGGUUAUGUCUAGAACAAGGCUGCAUCAGCUAAAUUAGGAAAUAACAAAUUAUAAAUUUAACACUUUUUGAAUUGGGUCCCCAUCAUGACGGUCAAUGUUUAAUUGUUUAGAGUGGCUAAGGUGGAAAUUUCCUUUAAAGACGUGACCAGACGGAUCUAUAUGAGCACUAUGGAUCCACCCCAGGAACAUAUAUCUGGAGUAGAGACUUCAGGAAAAA